rnacentral:rRNA from 1 species
GAUCCUACGGGAGGCAGCAGUGGGGGAUAUUGCACAAUGGGGGGAACCCUGAUGCAGCGACGCCGCGUGGGUGAAGGAGUGCUUCGGCAUGUAAAGCUCUAUCGGCAGGGAAUAGAAAAGAAGGUACCUGAAAAAGAAGCCCCGGCUAACUACGUGCCAGCAGCCGCGGUAAUACGUAGGGGGCAAGCGUUAUCCGGAUUUACUGGGUGUAAAGGGAGCGUAGACGGAAAGGCAAGUCAGAAGUGAAAACCCAAGGCUCAACCAUGGGACUGCUUUUGAAACUGUCAAACU